rnacentral:rRNA from 1 species
CACGUAGGGCGCAAGCGUUGUCCGGAAUUAUUGGGCGUAAAGAGCUCGUAGGCGGUCUGUUACGUCUGCUGUGAAAACCCGGGGCUUAACCCUGGGCUUGCAGUGGAUACGGGCAGACUAGAGGCAGGUAGGGGAGAAUGGAAUUCCCGGUGUAGCGGUGAAAUGCGCAGAUAUCGGGAGGAACACCGGUGGCGAAGGCGGGUUGCUGGGCUGACACUGACGCUGAUGCGCGAAAGCCAGGGGAGCGAACGGGGA